AGGGUUUGAUCCUGGCUCAGAACGAACGCUGGCGGCAGGCCUAACACAUGCAAGUCGAACGCAGUAGCAAUACUGAGUGGCGCACGGGUGAGGAACGCGUGGGAAUAUACCCUGUAGUAUGGAAUAGCUCCGGGAAACUGGAAUUAAUACCAUAUACGCCCUUAGGGGGAAAGAUUUAUCGCUAUAGGAUUAGCCCGCGUGAGAUUAGCUAGUUGGUGAGGUAAUGGCUCACCAAGGCGACGAUCUCUAGCUGGUCUGAGAGGAUGAUCAGCCACACUGGAACUGAGACACGGUCCAGACUCCUACGGGAGGCAGCAGUGAGGAAUAUUGGACAAUGGGCGAAAGCCUGAUCCAGCCAUGCCGCGUGAGUGAUGAAGGCCUUAGGGUUGUAAAGCUCUUUCGAUGGUGAAGAUAAUGACGGUAACCAUAGAAGAAGCCCCGGCUAACUUCGUGCCAGCAGCCGCGGUAAUACGAAGGGGGCUAGCGUUGUUCGGAAUCACUGGGCGUAAAGCGCGCGUAGGCGGAUUGUCAAGUCAGAGGUGAAAGCCCAGGGCCUAACCUUGGAACUGCCUUUGAAACUGACAAUCUGGAGACUCGGAGGGGAUAGCGGAAUUCCAAAUGUAGGGGUAAAAUCCGUAGAUAUUUGGAGGAACACCGGUGGCGAAGGCGGCUAUCUGGACGAGUACUGACGCUGAGGCGCGAAAGCGUGGGGAGCAAACAGGAUUAGAUACCCUGGUAGUCCACGCCGUAAACGAUGAGUGCUAGCUGUUGGUCCCUUCGGGGCCAGUGGCGCAGUUAACGCAUUAAGCACUCCGCCUGGGAAGUACGGUCGCAAGA
rnacentral:rRNA from 1 species